rnacentral:rRNA from 1 species
GACGAACGCUGGCGGCGUGCUUAACACAUGCAAGUCGAACGGUAAGGCCCUUCGGGGUACACGAGUGGCGAACGGGUGAGUAACACGUGGGUGAUCUGCCCUGCACUUUGGGAUAAGCCUGGGAAACUGGGUCUAAUACCGAAUAUGACCAUGGACUUCACGGUUUGUGGUGGAAAGCUUUUGCGGUGUGGGAUGGGCCCGCGGCCUAUCAGCUUGUUGGUGGGGUAAUGGCCUACCAAGGCGACGACGGGUAGCCGGCCUGAGAGGGUGACCGGCCACACUGGGACUGAGAUACGGCCCAGACUCCUACGGGAGGCAGCAGUGGGGAAUAUUGCACAAUGGGCGCAAGCCUGAUGCAGCGACGCCGCGUGGGGGAUGACGGCCUCGGUUGUAACCCUUCUACCAGGACGAAGCGAAAGUAGACGGUACCUGGAGAAGAAGGAACCGGCCGAACUAACGUGCCAGCAGCCG